rnacentral:rRNA from 1 species
AAUAGAUACCCAGGUAGUCCACGCCGUAAACGUUGGGCGCUAGAUGUGGGGACCUUUCCACGGUUUCCGUGUCGUAGCUAACGCAUUAAGCGCCCCGCCUGGGGAGUACGGCCGCAAGGCUAAAACUCAAAGGAAUUGACGGGGGCCCGCACAAGCGGCGGAGCAUGCGGAUUAAUUCGAUGCAACGCGAAGAACCUUACCAAGGCUUGACAUACACGAGAACGGGCCAGAAAUGGUCAACUCUUUGGACACUCGUGAACAGGUGGUGCAUGGUUGUCGUCAGCUCGUGUCGUGAGAUGUUGGGUUAAGUCCCGCAACGAGCGCAACCCUCGUCGCAUGUUGCCAGCACGUUAUGGUGGGGACUCAUGUGAGACUGCCGGGGUCAACUCGGAGGAAGGUGGGGAUGACGUCAAAUCAUCAUGCCCCUUAUGUCUUGGGCUUCACGCAUGCUACAAUGGCCGGUACAAAGGGCUGCGAUGUCGUAAGGCGGAGCGAAUCCCAAAAAGCCGGUCUCAGUUCGGAUUGAGGU